UGCGUUCAGCAUUAUUGCUCGACUUGCCCACCCUAGAGGCAUAUUCAAGAACUAAUUUUUAUUGUGUUCGGCAUUGCUUGACUUUUAUAGAAGAACUUUUUCAUGCUUUUGGCAGUUCAUAUGCAUAUGUUACUAAAACACUUUUUGACAGGUUAGCACCGAGUUAGAAUGUGUACACUUAAAUGGAUGAGUGAGUUUGCAUCUGAGUCUAGAAUGACCCAUCCAUAAUUCAAAUUGAAUGUGGCUCUAAGAUCUGAACAAAAACAAGGCUAAUUCAUUGGUCUGGAU
rnacentral:lncRNA from 1 species